CAUAAACAGUAUGUAUCAUUAUUAGUAAAAUAAGAUAUUAAGGAAAUAUAACACCAACUAAUGCUAUCAAUAAGGUCAAUCUGUCAAAACAACAAGCAAACUGGAAAGGAACGAGAUCGUCAAACUCCAUCACUGGCGUAAUUUUCCUUUCCCCUCCCAUCUUUUCAUGUAAUAAAACAAUUCAAAAAACAUAAAGUAUGAAUAAGUGGAUUCGAAGCAAAAAUUUGAAUAUUUUAAUACAUAAAAUUUAUUUUGCAUGUGUGCACAUAAUACAAAUCACCAAAAAGUUAGUAUAUAUAUGCAGAAUCUGUCUUAAAUGCAAUAUGAGAACACAGUCAGCCAGCAUAUUAAUCAGAUUUCUCGAGGCACCGCCCUUUAUGAUAUCUCACCACAAUCGAAAGGCUAACCUUUAGCAUCAACCGAGGAGCCGAAAUAUAUUUGGCAGUUGGCUGUUUGCCACUUGGCAGAGCUGCCCUUAUUACAAGUGGUUUAAUCUAUUCUCCGCUUGAGUCACCAAUCUCUUUAUUCUCCAUUAAACUAAUAGUUUAUUCGUACCCGACGUUACGUUGUAAAAGAAAUAUCAUCAGUUCAC
rnacentral:lncRNA from 1 species